rnacentral:tRNA from 1 species
GUCACUUUGCCGGAGUGGUUAACGGGAUCGCCUGCUAUUUAUAGUUGCCAGCGGUUGGGCUUUGCCCGCGUGUGUUCGAAUCGCACAGGUGACG